rnacentral:rRNA from 1 species
GACGAACGCUGGCGGCGUGCCUAACACAUGCAAGUUGAGCGACGAACCAGGGCUUGCCCUGGGGCAAAGCAGCGAACGGGUGAGUAACACGUGGGUAACCUACCCCGAUAACCGGGACAACCCGAGGAAACUCGGGCUAAUACCGGAUGUGCUCACUGGACUUCGGUUCAGUGCGUAAAGGAAGCUUCGGCCUCCGUAUCGGGAGGGGCCCGCGGUCCAUUAGUUUGUUGGUGAGGUAACGGCUCACCAAGACCGCGAUGGGUAGCUGGUCUGAGAGGACGAUCAGCCACACUGGGACUGAGACACGGCCCAGACUCCUACGGGAGGCAGCAGUGGGGAAUCUUGCGCAAUGCGCGAAAGCGUGACGCAGCAACGCCGCGUGGGGGAAGAAGGCCUUCGGGUUGUAAACCCCUUUCAGGAGGGACGAAGGUUCGGCGGUGAAUAGCCGUCCGGACUGACGGUACCUCCACAAGAAGCCCCGGCUAACUACGUG